rnacentral:rRNA from 1 species
AGGCAGAGUCAUNCUUAGGAAUCUGCCUAUUAGUGGGGGACAACGUUCCGAAAGGAACGCUAAUACCGCAUACGUCCUACGGGGGAAAGCAGGGGAUCUUCGGACCUUGCGCUAAUAGAUGAGCCUAAGUCGGAUUAGCUAGUUGGUGGGGUAAAGGCCUACCAAGGCGACGAUCUGUAGCGGGUCUGAGAGGAUGAUCCGCCACACUGGGACUGAGACACGGCCCAGACUCCUACGGGAGGCAGCAGUGGGGAAUAUUGGACAAUGGGCGCAAGCCUGAUCCAGCCAUGCCGCGUGUGUGAAGAAGGCCUUUUGGUUGUAAAGCACUUUAAGCGAGGAGGAGGCUCCUUUAGUUAAUACCUAAAGAGAGUGGACGUUACUCGCAGAAUAAGCACCGGCUAACUCUGUGCCAGCAGCCGCGGUAAUACAGAGGGUGCGAGCGUUAAUCGGAUUUACUGGGCGUAAAGCGUGCGUAGGCGGCUUUUUAAGUCGGAUGUGAAAUCCCUGAGCUUAACUUAGGAAUUGCAUUCGAUACUGGAGAGCUAGAGUAUGGGAGAGGAUGGUAGAAUUCCAGGUGUAGCGGUGAAAUGCGUAGAGAUCUGGAGGAAUACCGAUGGCGAAGGCAGCCAUCUGGCCUAAUACUGACGCUGAGGUACGAAAGCAUGGGGAGCAAACAGGAUUAGAUACCCUGGUAGUCCAUGCCGUAAACGAUGUCUACUAGCCGUUGGGGCCUUUGAGGCUUUAGUGGCGCAGCUAACGCGAUAAGUAGACCGCCUGGGGAGUACGGUCGCAAGACUAAAACUCAAAUGAAUUGACGGGGGCCCGCACAAGCGGUGGAGCAUGUGGUUUAAUUCGAUGCAACGCGAAGAACCUUACCUGGCCUUGACAUACUAAGAACUUUCCAGAGAUGGAUUGGUGCCUUCGGGAACUUAGAUACAGGUGCUGCAUGGCUGUCGUCAGCUCGUGUCGUGAGAUGUUGGGUUAAGUCCCGCAACGAGCGCAACCCUUUUCCUUAUUUGCCAGCGGGUCAUGCCGGGAACUUNAAGGAUACUGCCAGUGACAAACUGGAAGGAAGGCGGGGACCAACGCCAAGUCAUC